AACGCACAUUGCGCCCCUCGGUAUUCCGGGGGGCAUGCCUGUCCGAGCGUCAUUUCACCCCUCACGCCCCGCGUGGUCUUGGGCAUCGCCGGCCUCGCCGGCGGGCCUCAAAUGCAGUGGCGGCGCCCCCGGGCCCUCAGCGUAGUACCUCACCUCGCUGUCGGGUCCCGGCGGGACGCCUGCCCCAACCCCAACUUUCUUGAAAUUGACCUCGGAUCAGGUAGGGAUACCCGCUGAACUUAA
rnacentral:misc_RNA from 1 species